ACCAGUACCGUGAGGGAAAGGUGAAAAGCACUUCGAACAGAAGAGUGAAAUAGUUCCUGAAACCGUGCGCCUACAAGCGGUCGGAGCUCGUUAAUGAGUGACGGCGUGCCUUUUGCAUAAUGAACCUACGAGUUGCCUUUGCCGGCAAGGUUAAGUGUGACGACACACGUAUCCGAAGCGAAAGCGAGUCUGAACAGGGCGUAUAGUCGGCAGUGGCAGACGCGAAACCAAGUGAUCUACCCUUGGCCAGGUUGAAGGCUGGGUAACACCAGCUGGAGGACCGCACCAAUAAGCGUUGAAAAGCUUCUGGAUGAGCUGAGGGUAGGGGUGAAAGGCUAAUCAAACUUGGAGAUAGCUCGUACUCCCCGAAAUGCAUUUAGGUGCAGCCUUGUGAGUUACUAAUGUGAGGUAGAGCGACUGAUAAGAUGCGAGGGCUUCACCGCCUAUCAAGUCUUGACAAACUCCGAAUGCGCAUCAGUUCUACCGCAGGAGUGAGGGCAUGGGUGCUAAGGUCCGUGCCCGAGAGGAGAAGAAUCCGGACCACCUGCUAAGGUCCCGAAAUGACAGCUAAGUUAAACUAACGAAGUCUGACUGCUAAGACAGCUAGGAUGUUGGCUUGGAAGCAGCCAUUCAUUUAAAGAGUGCGUAACAGCUCACUAGUCGAGGAGUCGGGCGUGGAUAAUAAUCGGGUAUCAAGUUGUCUACCGAAGCAGUGGGAUCAUUAAUAUGAUCGGUAGGGGAGCAUUCCAGUCAGCGUCGAAGGCGUACCGUGAGGUAUUCUGGAGCGUCUGGAAAAGCAAAUGUAGGUAUAAGUAACGAUAAAGGGGGCGGGAAACCCCCUCGCCGAAAGACUAAGGUUUCCUGAUCAACGCUAAUCGGAUCAGGGUCAGUCGGGUCCUAAGGCUCAGCCGAACGGCGAUGCCGAUGGCAGAAACGGUUAAUAUUCCGUUACUACCUUCAGGAGUGACGUGGAGACGCAGUAGUGACAGUGCCGCCAUCUGACGGAAUAGAUGGUUGAAGGGUGUAGGAGUCGAUCAUGGCAGGCAAAUCCACCAUGAGAUCCGAACCUGACAGUAUGCCGCGUCCUUCGGGACAAGGCAAUAGUGCGCGUAAGCAUGCUGCCGAGAAAAUCCGCUAAACUUAAUCCUGCAGGUACCCGUACCGCAAACGGACACACGUAGUCGGGAUGAAUAUUCUAAGGCGCUUGAGUGAUUCACGGUUAAGGAACUAGGCAAACUGACCCUGUAACUUCGGGAUAAAGGGUCCCUACCCUUUUAUGGGAGGGCGCAGAGAAUCGGUCCAGGCAACUGUUUAACAAAAACACAGGGCUGUGCCAAAUCGAAAGAUCCAGUAUACAGCCUGACACCUGCCCGGUGCUGGAAGGUUAAGAGGAGAUGUCAUCGAUAAGAGAAGCGUUGAAUUGAAGCCCCAGUAAACGGCGGCCGUAACUAUAACGGUCCUAAGGUAGCGAAAUUCCUUGUCGGGUAAGUUCCGACCUGCACGAAUGGUGUAAUGAUCUGGACACUGUCUCAACCGUGAGCUCAGUGAAAUUGUAGUAUCGGUGAAGAUGCCGAUUACCCGCGAUGGGACGAAAAGACCCCGUGAACCUUUACUAUAGCUUAUCAUUGAAUCUGGGCACGUGAUGUGUAGGAUAGGUCGGAGGCUUUGAAGCAGGUACGCCAGUAUUUGUGGAGCCGCUGUUGAAAUACGACCCUUUAUUUGUUUGGAUUCUAACCCGUGGAUACGGGGACAUUGAUUGGUGGGUAGUUUGACUGGGGUGGUCGCCUCCAAAAGCGUAACGGAGGCUUCUAAAGGUGCCCUCCGGCCGAUUGGUAACCGGCCUUAGAGUGUAAUGGCAUAAGGGCGCUUGACUGGGAGACU
rnacentral:rRNA from 1 species